CCUGAGAACCAGCACCUCCCCCCAUUCCCACCUAGGGUUCGAACACCUACUCAACUGGCCCUGCAGCCCAGAGAGGGGGAGAAGGACGGAGGGAAUGCAGAAAAGGGGAAACAGCAGAGGCGGAGAAAAGGGAGAGGGUUCCCCCAAGAAGGCAGGCUCCAGGAAAGCGAAACGCAGUUUGGCAGCUCGAGGCCCGCGGGCCCCAGCGAAGAGGGGCUGGGGGCGGGCCCUGGACGCUCGCCAGCUCAGUCCGCGGCGAAGGGGAGGGAGGCCAGGUCGGCCAGGGGUGGGGAACCGGGGUGAGGGCGGGACACGGACCGCGGCCGCCUGCGGCUCCGAAGCUGUGGUCUCCUGGGGAGCGGGGACUUGGGGCCGAAGACCCCGAUCCGCAGCCUCCCAGCGGCCUCGUCCUUCACCGUGCAGAUGCGAAGCUUUCAAGGACACGUCUGCACCGGCCCGGCGGGGUGCGUGUGCGUGUGUCCGCGUGCUUGAGUGUGCGCGGGGGGAGGCGGCUGCAGGGACGACCCCGGCGUCCCCACCCGCACGGUUCCCAGCCCGCUGCUCCCACCCCCGCGUUUUCCGGCCCCCGCGGCCCGGGAUCUUCGCCCGCCCCCGCCCCACCCCGCCCCCACACUGCGGCGCAGCCACCACCACUACCACCGCCGCCACCGCCGCCCCGGCUCCCACGGCCCGCAGCGGGGGCAGGGAGGAGCCAGCCACGACGCCCCCCUCCCGACGCACUGCCCGGCCCUCCGCGAGAAGGUGUGCCCCCCAAGUGGGCACCCUCCCCAUCCAUCGCCCCUCCCAGAUCCGCCGGCGCCCCGCACCCCCAGCCACAGGUGGCCGGAGGAGGAUCGCGGCGCAGCGUUCCCAGGCCCGGCCCCCAGAUCACCCCUCGGCCCGCCUCCGGGGGCCUCUCGGGUACCCCGCCCCGCCGGGCCGAGGAGGGCCGGGAGCCGGGGGGAGGGGCGGGGGGCCGGGUCGUGCCAGGCUGCCAUUUUCUGCCGCCGCCGCGGAGCCUGCGCGGGGCCCGGCCCCCGCCCCCUCCCCGCUCCCCGGGCCCGCGGCGGGGGCCGAGGGUUCCGGGUCGGGGUCCGCGCCCUCCCGCGCCCUGGCCGCGGGCCCCAUGCAGGGCCCCGAGGCGGGAGCAGAGCCCGGAAGGCGCGGGCGGCCGGGCCGGGCCCCUGCGGCAGCGCUGAGCCGGGCACGGCGGCCGCGGCAGGCGGCGGAGGGGCCCCCGCAGCAUUGUAUAGACUUGAACUUGAGCCCGGAGCCCGCGCGGGCGGGGAGAGGGGUCCGCGCCCGGAGUUGGCAGGACGGGAGGGGGCGCCUGCCGAGCCCUGGGGACAUAAACAAACCCUCGGCUCCCUCGCGCCGCCCGGCCAGCGCGGCCCGCCGUCUCCGCCCGCAGCCCCGGCCCCGCGGGCGCCGGGCGCCGAGUUGCAGGGGUCCGGGAGCGCGCCCCGAGCCGGGCACUGCCCGCCGCGGCGCCCCGAGCCGCCUCCCUGCUCCCCGCCCGCCCGGGCCGGCCUGCGGGCCGCCGGCAGCGGCGCUCAUUACCGUGUGGCGGGUCGGGUCGCGCCGGCCCGGCUGCGCGCCCUGGUGCCGCGGCGCCGCGUCCCGGCUCGUCCUCUGCUCUCGCCGCCGCCGCCGCCCGCGCGCCUCCUCCCUCCCGGCCCGCCCGCCUGCCCGCCUCGCUCGCUCCCUCCCUCCGCUCGCUGUCGCGCUCCCUCUCUCCGCCUCCUCCGCCGGCUUCCCCUCCCACCCCUUCUCUCCGCCUUCCUCCUUCCCUCCCUCCGGCCGCCCGCCGGCCCAGGCCUCCGCCCGCCGCUCGCCCCCCGCGGCCGCGCUGGCCCCGGCCCCGGCGAUGCGGAGCCGGCCCGGAGGCAGCGCGGGCUGGGGGCCCCGGGGCGCCGCGGCGGGAGCGGCCUGGCGCGCGGCCGGUCCUAGCGCCCUCGGCCGCCUGCGCGGCCUCUGCGGGCCGCCGGGGGUCCCCGCGCGCCGGCAGCCGGAGGGCCGGACCCCGCGGAGCCCCGCCGUGCCCCGGACCUGGACACCCCUCCCAGCCGCGCUCCCGGCCGCUCCGGGACCCUCGGGUGGGAGACAGCCCGGGCCUUGCCGCAGCCUCCCCACCCCCCGAGGGACGCCCCGCUACCUGGCGCUGCUUCUGCGCUGGGUCCCCGCAUCCAGCACUGGUCGCAGGGACAGCGGCCCCUCCUCUCCCCGGCCGGUGUCAAGUGCCUCCCCCCGCAGCCCGCGGAGCCCCCGGCGGCCUUCGCCCUGCAGUUCUCCCGACCUCCGCCAGAGCCCACUGCACUCUGCCCGCCUCAGCACUGGAGCUGGGGACAGCAGCGCCGGCCGGUCCGCGCCGCACCCCCCAGCCAGGUACCGCCCGAACGUGGCCGGCCCGCGCCUCGGGGCCAAGGUCGGAGCGCCAGGCGGCCUGGAGGCCCGGAGCACCUCUGUGCCCACCCCUAGCAAAAACAACAAAAGCCCCACGGUUUACUUCAGUCGCUCUGGCUUUGGUCUUUGCUGAGCCAGGUUCUGUGGCAGUGGAGCACAGGGUCACCUGCCCGUCCCCGUAAACAGAAGACAGACGUCGCUGGACCAAUGCAGCUGCAUCCCAAAAGAAGCACCGGUUGCUCCCCCAAACCAGGCACACUCUGCGCUGGGCCUGCUCUCCAGGCUGGCAGAGCUGUUCUGCUCCCUCACAGAAAAUGCAAGCCCUGGCCAGCCCAAAGGUGGGACCUGCGAGGAUGCUGUGUGUGCCUGUCCGCGCGAUCUCCGUGUGGCUCUUUUUUUUUUUUUUCCCAGGACUGAGGAUUUAGCUCAGGACCCUCCGACUGAGCUACGUCAUCAGCCCUUUUUGUCCUGAAACAGGGUCUCAAGGAGCCAUUAAGUUUCCCAGGGUGGGCUCAAAUCAGUGAUUUUGCUGCACUGGCUCCCAGAAUGUUGGAAUUCCAGACAUGUGCCACCACACCUGGCUCUGUGUGACUUCUUCUCACACUGUGUUUAAAUUAUAAACUGAGCCAAACCACUCAAAACACCAAAUUUACAAUGGUGGGGAGCAAAUGGGUUACUCAGAUGAAGGCCGGCUCUGGGAGAUGUUGGACAGGAAGGGUUGCUGGUCCCUGGCGUGCACCACUCAGCCUGGGAGGGCGACCGGAGCUCUCUUCUUGGCAGGGAGGGGAGCCAUAUCCUGCUCUGACUUCCCGGGAGAAUCUCCCUGGCUUGUCCUGCCCACCGCCCCUGAAGGACUGAAGAAAAGGAGCCCCCUUCAGGAGGACCAGCUUCCUGUGGGACUGGCUCAGGUCUUCUCGGGGAUCCUUCCGAGGCCCCACCAUAGGGGGGCUAGGGAGUGCGUAUGUUUCUCUUACUGGCCCAGCCAGCCCACAACUGCCAAGCUUCCUGGAAAGUCACGAUAGCUUUCUUUCCAGCACUGUGACAAAAUACUUGAGAUAAGCAACUUCAAAGGAGGAAACGUUCAUUUCCGCCCACAGUUCCAGAGGUGGCAGUUCAUGGUUGCUGUAUCCUGUCAUUUGGGCCUGUAGCAACACAGAACAUCAUGGCAGGAAGCCCUGGGUGAGCUGCUUACUUCAUGCCAUCUGGGAAGCAAAGAGAGGAAGUGGCAGAGACCCCAGUCUCCCUUUCAGGGUACACAUGUCCCCAUGACCCACUUCUGCCCGCUGACCCGCCUCUUAAAGCACCUCCCAGGAGCACCAUCCGCCAGAUCCAAGCCGGGAAUGCGAGGUUGGGAAUAUAUUCCAGGCCCAAACCAUAGCAGGAAGUCAUGGAUCAGUAGCCAGCCUCCCCCAAACCCACAGCCACUGAACUGAUUACUGCACACACCCACCACAGAUGUCAGGUGCAUUAAAGCCAAGAACAUGUAUGAAGGUCCUGUCACCUACAGAACUCGAUAUCGUUCACAGAGAAAAUUUAAAGACACAGAUUCAUUCAUUUUUAUUUUGGUUUGGUUGGGUAAUUUAAUUUUAACCAAACCAAACCAAACCAAACAGAAUAUAGCUAAUCAAACAGAACAAUGAAAGCAUUAUAGGACUUCAAAACAAGAUACUAGGAAAUCCGCAAUGGCUACCAUAAUGUCUCUUGUGUUCUUCAAAAUAGCUGCCCAUACCAUCAGACAUGAUAAAACAAAAUAGAAUAAAACCGAUCAAAACAGAA